AUCUGGCUAGCUCAGUUGGAAGAGCAUGAGACUCUUGAUUUCAGGGUUGUGAGUUUGAGACUCACUUUGGGUA
rnacentral:tRNA from 1 species